GAUGAACGCUGGCGGCGUGCCUAAUACAUGCAAGUCGAGCGAACAGACGAGGAGCUUGCUCCUCUGACGUUAGCGGCGGACGGGUGAGUAACACGUGGAUAACCUACCUAUAAGACUGGGAUAACUUCGGGAAACCGGAGCUAAUACCGGAUAAUAUAUUGAACCGCAUGGUUCAAUAGUGAAAGACGGUUUUGCUGUCACUUAUAGAUGGAUCCGCGCCGCAUUAGCUAGUUGGUAAGGUAACGGCUUACCAAGGCAACGAUGCGUAGCCGACCUGAGAGGGUGAUCGGCCACACUGGAACUGAGACACGGUCCAGACUCCUACGGGAGGCAGCAGUAGGGAAUCUUCCGCAAUGGGCGAAAGCCUGACGGAGCAACGCCGCGUGAGUGAUGAAGGUCUUCGGGUCGUAAAACUCUGUUAUUAGGGAAGAACAAAUGUAUAAGUAACUAUGCACGUCUUGACGGUACCUAAUCAGAAAGCCACGGCUAACUACGUG
rnacentral:rRNA from 1 species